UUUUUCAUAAAUUAUUAAGAAAAUGAUAAUUUCUUAAAGUAAUAAAUUAUUACAUGAAAG
rnacentral:tRNA from 1 species